rnacentral:rRNA from 1 species
UUCACCUUUUAAGAUCCGUUGCGCCAGCUUCUCAGCCAGAACAUACGAAAGGUUUUUCUGUGCAGCUAACUGUUGUGCGCUUAAAGGCAUUACUAAUCUUCCUUUUUCUUUUUAUUCCUCCUUAGUAUGCCACCAGGAAGUGUGAUUACGGUUGCAAAAACGGCAAAUUGCUUGUUUUAUGGCACAUUAACGGGGCUUUUGCUGAAAAAAUGCGCGGUCAGAAAAUUAUUUUAAAUUUCCUCUUGUCAGACCGGAAUAACUCCCUAUAAUGCGCCACCACUGACACGGAACAACGGCAAGCACGCCGCCGGGUCAGCGGGGUUCUCCUGAGAAUUCCGGCAGAGAAAGCAAAAAUAAAUGCUUGACUCUGUAGCGGGAAAGCGUAUUAUGCACACCCCGCGCCGCUGAGAAAAAGCGAAGCGGCACUGCUCUUUAACAAUUUAUCAGACAAUCUGUGUGGGCACUCGAAGAUACGGAUUCUUAACGUCGCAAGACGAAAAAUGAAUACCAAGUCUCAAGAGUGAACACGUAAUUCAUUACGAAGUUUAAUUCUUUGA